ACGGUGACACAAAAUCGGAGGCCACGACUGUUUACUAAAAACACAACACAGUGCAAUCAUUAAUAUGAUAGUAUACUGUGUGAAAUUUGCCCGAUGCCAUUAAUAUAAGAGCGAUCAUGGUUUUCUGUGAUUAAUCGAAAAUCUGGUUAAUAGCGGUCUUAACUAUGAGGAUCCUAAGGUAGCAAAAUAAAUUGGCCUUUAAAUGAGGUCCGGUAUCAAUAAUGUAACGAUGGUCUCACUGUCUCUACAACUUGCUCAGUGAAAUUGAAUUACGCGUGCAGAUGCGCGUUGCCUUCAGGGGGACGGGAAGACCCUAUGCAGCUUCUACCGA
rnacentral:rRNA from 1 species